GAUGAACGCUGGCGGCGUGCCUAAUACAUGCAAGUCGAGCGAACAGACGAGGAGCUUGCUCCUCUGACGUUAGCGGCGGACGGGUGAGUAACACGUGGAUAACCUACCUAUAAGACUGGGAUAACUUCGGGAAACCGGAGCUAAUACCGGAUAAUAUAUUGAACCGCAUGGUUCAAUAGUGAAAGACGGUUUUGCUGUCACUUAUAGAUGGAUCCGCGCCGCAUUAGCUAGUUGGUAAGGUAACGGCUUACCAAGGCGACGAUGCGUAGCCGACCUGAGAGAGUGAUCGGACACACUGGAACUGCGACACGGUCCAGACUCCUACGGGAGGCAGCAGCCGGGAAUCUUACGCGAUGGGCGAAAGCCUGACGGAGGACAGCCGCGUGAGUGAUGAAGGUAUUCGGAUCGUAAAACUCUGUUAUUAGGGAAGAACAAAUGUGUAAGUAACUAUGCACGUCUUGACGGUACCUACUCAGAAAGCCACGGCUAGCUCCGUG
rnacentral:rRNA from 1 species